rnacentral:misc_RNA from 1 species
UCAGGAGGAACGUGGAUGUGGUUCCCCCUAAGAAAGAGGAAGAAAAUAAAGGAGGCGGCGAGAAGAAAGAAGAAGCCAAGGCCAAGAAGAAAGAAGAAACUAAAGCUGAGAAGAAAGGAGACGGUGGCAAGGAGGAGGCGGCGGCUAGUGGUAGUGGAGCUAAGGUGGAGGUGAGCAAGAUGGAGUACUACCCAGCACCGGCACCCACUCACUGGUUCGAUGGAAUGUUUGGUCACAGUUACACAGUGGAGCCCCAACACGGGUACUACCCGGUGAAUCAAGGGUACCCG